rnacentral:sRNA from 1 species
AACGAGAUACACACACGUUUUUGCCGGGAAACUGACGGGAGGGGAGAGAGUACGAACACCAAUAUGAAGCACCACGACUGUAGCUGGGAAGGCUACUGGGUACGCUGUCAUGCUGGUAAUGUAAUGAUGAUUUAACCUUACAAAAUAGAGGGAAACUAUAGGAAAAAAACACCGUUUACUAUCGCGUCGUACGAGAAUUCGACUUUUAUUGCUUUCCAAGAAAAGUGUUUUCUUCAUCAUAGGCAGACUCUUGGUAUUAUCGGUCCCACGGUAAAUUCUUAGUUCACUGGAUUAAAAAAAAGACAAGACCGACAUUUCACUGAGUAUGCAAUCGGUUGCAAGGUAGUAGAAAUCAUGAACAAGCAACAGGACCCCUGUCCACGUAAGCUUACCAAUUUACUUUUUAUACUCUUUCAAAUUCAACUAGACUAAGACUGAAGAAACAUCUCAAAUAUAGAUUCUGGGUUGUAACUCUCAUCUUCAUAUCUGAUGACACGAUAGAAGCUAGGUCUGUCCUCCAUACUCUGUAAGCUGAUUGCCUCCACCGGUAAAGUGCAGUGGUCCUCCCGCUGCUAAGUAGCUCACUCAGGAGUCAGUGCCUCGCCUUAUGCCGCUCACCAUGUGUGAAGUACCGACUUAUUUUUUGUCUUUGGCACAAACCAACAUGUCCUCUUCACAAAGACCAGCAGGGAGGUUAAAAGACAACGACUUUGGAUGAAACAAAUAUGAAUUUAAUCAGUAGGUCUUAUUUCAGGGUCUAUACAUUUAACUAGCCAGGAAAAUGCGUGAUGGUAUCGUAACAACAAAAUGUGAUGCUGAAAUCAGUAAAUGUGUUUUGAUGCUUUUAAAAAAUACCUGUAGUACACCGAUAUGUAAAAAAAGGUUUUUUUCAUGUUUUCUUGUGAAUAGAUAUACUGAGUAUAUUGUAUGAUGAAUAACAAUGAGUGUCUUUGCUCUACUCUCUCGCAUAUUCAAAAUAUUUUAAUAUUAUUUCUCAUACUAUCAUCUUUUCAUAGUCAUGAACAAAAUGGGUUGAUGCUAAUGAUUGCAAACAAUUCGCGGGGAUAAACUGCACAUAUUAAUUACCCAGACGGUUACAAUCAUAACCUUUGACCUUUCUGUCCGCACCCUGCAAGAGCCCUUUAACUGAUCUCUUUAAUUUGCGGAUAUCCCAGAGAUAAGACAAUAUCGUAUAUCCAGGUGUUCCUAGUACAAUUAAAUUAUUUGAUGUAAUCUGACGAUAACGACCAUAUCCUGCUAUAUCUGGUGGGCCUAUCUCGAAAUGUGCAAGGGAAGUUCUUUGAAGGCUUAACAUUGCAAGAACUUCAGGACUAUAGAUGCACAAGUUGGCGGACCUGCAUGCCAAAGGUCGCAAACCUGUCCCACUUUUUAAUCCUGAUGAAAAGGUUAAUGAUAGAAACAGGGCAAUAUGGAAAGAAUUUUAAUGUAUAAAUGUUGAAUUUAAAGUCUUCUUGAUGCACAGUUUUAACAUUUAUCACCUGAAAACCGUGCACAAGGUAUGGCACAGGAAUUUCAUUACACGAACGCAUUAAUAUUUGGCUGGUUGUUGAGACUCACAAAGUUUUCCGACACUCUAAAACAAAAAUACAAAACUCUUCAACAGUUAAUUAUUGAUUGAGUUAGCGAUGACCUGAUGAGGAAUUUUGUUUUGCCUCUAAUCUGUACUUCUAUAGGCAUGUUUAGUCCACACGUGAUGUAACAUGGACGUGAAGGAAUAUACUUGACAAUUCCAAGUAUGUCAAGGUAGAAUACAAGAGGAAUCAAGUCUGUCUGCUUUUUCUUGGGCCCAAACAAAUAUAUCAAAUAGAAGUCUCGGCUACGCCUUUUAAGAUUUGCAAGAUGCAUUUUACUUUCAAUUUUUCAGAAUUUAGAACUUGCAAUAAACAAGGUUUAUAAGUUUGACAUAAAAAAAUAACUUAUUGGCUUGGCAUGUGGUGAUUUUUAAAGAAUUUUAUGAGUGAAAAAAAUAAGGGUAUAUCAUUACUUGAUCGUGUUGAUGAUUUUUACGACAUUAUGACAUGUAGGUGACAAUAAUCCAUUUUAUUACAACAGAUAGGGACAUUCAUCUUGGUGAAAUCAUCCGAUCGUUGCGCAAUUUUAAGUCAUGUUUGGAUAGGCAACAAUUGCUCCAAAAGACAUGGAGAAAAGAUACAGAUCUUUCCGAAUCAACCCCCGCUACGGUCGACUUCCCUCAUAAAAGGUGCAAGUUUACGGGGCGCAAAGGAUCACAUACCGACCUAAACCCCUUAAUCAUGCAUAAGGUGAUAUUUUUAAUAUUCAUCCUUAGGUUUGUGCUGAUGUAUCUAUCUAUCCCCGUAAAGAUAUCGGAUAUUAAAUCUUCAGAAAUUUUUUCAGAAGUUCAAACUCUCUCUCUCAAUAUUCAUACACUUUUAUCUUGAUCACUUAUCGUGUGUUGUAGAAGUCUUUUUCCUCGAAAAGUACGCUUUUCUUGAAUGUAUGCAUGUGAUUCAUAUCGAUGAGCAAUAUGGUGCAGGUAAUAAAUUGUAUUGGAUAUC